UACGUAGGUGGCAAGCGUUGUCCGGAUUUAUUGGGUUUAAAGGGUGCGUAGGCGGUCUUAUAAGUCAGUGGUGAAAUCCGGCAGCUCAACUGUCGAGGUGCCAUUGAUACUGUAGGACUUGAGUACAGACGAGGUAGGCGGAAUUGACGGUGUAGCGGUGAAAUGCUCAGAUAUCGUCAAGAACACCGAUAGCGAAGGCAGCUUACUAGGCUGUAACUGACGCUGAGGCACGAAAGUGUGGGGAGCAAACAGG
rnacentral:rRNA from 1 species